UUUUUUUUUUUUUUUUUAAGAUUUUAUUUAUUUAUUCAUGAGAGACACACACAGAGAGAGGCAGAGACACAGGCAGAGGGAGAAGCAGGCUCCAUGCAGGAAGCCUGAUGUGGAACUCAUCCGGAGACUCCAGGAUCAUGCUUUGAGCCAAAGGCAGAUGCUUAACCGCUGAGCCACCCAGGCAUCCCCUAUUCUCUCCAUUCUUAUGCUUCUAGAAGUUCCCUAAGCUCCCCAAAGAGCUUGUACUCCCCUAUCACCUGCCUCAUCCUCUGCCCUUUGCCCCACCACACCCUGGGGCUUCUUCCUGGCUUCUGCCCUCACAGAAGUCCCUGUGUCUACACAGAGACAUUUGGUGGCACAUUUCACAAGAUAAAAAGAAAAAAAUGUAGAAUUUCCUUCCCUUCCAUCUCAACUCUAGUAUAUUCACUACUCAAAAGAGAGAGGCACAAAAAUCACCAGCUCAGAAGCAGACAAUUCAACUUUCUGAGUUUAUUUUGGAUUUCUCGUUGUACAGAUUUAGCCGGUUACUCCAGCUGAGGUCACAGUGAUGCUGAGGAUGUUCACCUGGGCUUGAGAGCCCCACGGGCCUGAGCAGCAUUUUGAAGUUGGUACUGUGACCUCCCUGUCAAGUGUCAGGGACAAAGGAUUGUACUUGUGGGGCUCCUGGAGAAUAUGCUGCCUUCCUUCAGAUGUUUGCUUUCCCACUUGUUGCACAGUGAUUUGUUUGGAUAUUUGGGUCACCCAACACUGACCUCCUCCCCCACUAUGGUGGGAAGCUGGAUGUUGGGCCUUCCCUCCUUCCCAGGGAAAUCAUAAACUAAAACAAAAUUUUAAGCCAUGUGCAAAACAUACCUUUCCUAGAAUCUAAGAGAGAAGCACCUGUGAGGUCAAGUUUUUACAAAGGGGUCCCUCUAGGACUCACCCCAUCUGCCCGCCUGGCCUCUCCAGGGCUCUUUUCGCACCUCUUACCAAGGGGGUCCCCUCUUCUAACCUUCCUGCGCAAAUGUCCAUCUACCAUUCAGAAAGCCCCUACACACAGGAAACGAAUCCGAGAUUCAUCCUUUAACCUGCCAGUAAUUCCUCCCACAGGUGAAUCACUGUGUGCACGGAGGCCCUGGCCAGUGGGAGGCUUGGCUGCAAAGGUCAUUAAUGUUCCAGACUGGCAAAGGGUCCAGGAGGGCAGGGCUUUGGUGCCGCCUCACAGGGAGUCUAGGAAGGGCAUGACCCCUGAAGCUGAAGCUUCUGCCCCACGUGAGCUGCAGGCACGCCAUCUGUUCUCUUGAUUGCUGCCGCUGGCUAACAGGUUGGACCACACACACACACACACACACACACACACAUACACACACCCCUCCAAAGGACCGACGCAAGGGCUCAGCCUAAACCCUUAAUGAGGAAGGGAAUAUUUUUCUAGUACUGAUUCAUACUUCUCAAGAUGCUUCCCUCUCCUUGGCCAGCAAAUCACAAGAUUGUGGAGAGAUGUAUUUUUCUUUCAUUCCUCCUUCAUGCCCCUUCCUAAUUGUGCCCUUUCAGACUUGCAGGAACAAGGAAAAAGCCUAAUGCAGAGUCAUAGACCUCUUACUGUCCUCUUCCAGGAAGAGGGUAAGGUCAGAACUUCCACUGCCCUCCUCACCUUUUGUCAAAGGAGGCUGAACUGGGGAUUAAGGUGCUGGUGAAUAACAAGUGGAUCAACACGGUCACUGAGUAAGAUCCCUGGGUGCUUCAGCACAGAGAAAAACAAGAAGCUACCUUACUAUGUGCUCUUCCAUUUUCUUCAGACUAUAAAAUAAGUCAAGGCUAUUUAAAAAACACAAAGGAUGACACUUUUUGAAACAGACAGAUACCCUUUCCACUCAUAUAUAUCUGUCUGCCCAAGAAAACCAGUAUCUGGGCUACUUGAAGUUCUAGACUAACAGUUACUAUUUUUCCUUUUAUUCAUAUGACAUAGAACUACAUUUCUCAAAUAUGGUGUGUGAAAUCCCUUGAGGACUUGUUAAAAUUGCUGCCCCAGAGACCAUUCUUUCCCUGAGGUCUGGAAUGUGUUCCUCAUCUGCUGGGGGGGUUUCUAAAGCAGGUGGUCAGUCCCCUCCACAGGAAGCUCUAGGUGCUCUGGGCAGACAAUGGGAGCUGGUAAAACUGUAAAAAUUAUGUUCAUUCCUAAAGGGUUAAUCUGCUUUCCAGAGGUGCCAAACUUUCAACAGAAAAAAAUAAACAAAAUCUAUUCUAAGGAUUAAAUAUAUAAUUAGAGGAUUUUAACAGCCCCAUGGAAGAAAACACAGUGAUAGAGAACAAUGGAAUUUGUGGAUUAAUUAGCAAUACAAUGCUGAGCUUUGUGCAGUUUCAGACUGAUAAUACAUCUGGCUCACAACACACUUCCUGGAUUUCUGAAACCAAAGAAAAUGCAUUGGGUUUAAGGUCAAAUCUGAGAUUUUGCUUAUAUUCCUCAAAAAGGCAUAACCAUUCAGCAGGUUGUAUGUGAUGUGACUGUUCUGAUAUUUUUUCUUUGCAUUCUAUUUACAAUACUCAGGAAGGAUUUUAAAAAUUAAUGAGCUUUAAAUAUUGUAUGGGUACAAAUGUCAAUCAUUCAUUUAUUAGGUAAAAUGUUACUGAAUACAAAGAUACAAAGAUAUCAAGACAAGCCCUUGCUAUCACAUUGCAUACAAUGUAGUGGAGGAGUUAAAAAAAAAAAAUAAGCCAAGGUUAGGUGUCAAAAUGAAGACAAAGUACAAGGUAUACAGUUGAAAUAUUCAGGAAGAGGUCAUCUUGAGGAAGUCACGGGGACCCAGCCUGAACUGGACCCUGAGGCUUAACAGUUGCCAAGGGGUGAACAAGAGGAAAGAGGAACAGAAAAACUAAAGGAACAUGGAGGCAUGAAUAUGCAUAGCAAGUAGUACAGAUUGGCUAGGAAAUGGGACACCAGCAGACACCGGCUGGAGACUAAUCUGGAGAGGGAGACAGGGGCCAGUCUAUGCUUCAAAGUUGGACUUUAUCCUGAAGGCACUAAGAACCCAUACUCUAAGGGCUCAGCAAAGACACCAAAAUAUAAUUUGCUUAAAAAGAAAAGUCUGAGGAGGCAUGGAGAUUGGAUUGGAGGAAAUACAGAGGGAGAAGACUCAUUUGGAAGAGAUGAUGGGCCUGAGAAGGCAGUGCAGGUGGACGGUCCAUUUGCAGAGACGUCUCAGGGCAGGGUGGACAGUACCAGUGACCAGCUGGAUGACAAAGGAAAGGCAGAUGGGUGGAUCGAGGAUAGCAUCCGCAUUUGUGGUGUGCAGAACUGAGAAGGUGGGAGUACCAGUAACCAUGUUAGGACAUGUAAGUAGAAGAGCAGCUAUAGCACAUGAAUUCUGUUUGCGACAUAUUGGGCUCCAGUUUCCUGAGGGUCACAGCCAUUAAGAUACUUGGUAGAUUACAUAUAAGAGUCUGAACUCAGGGAGAUUUGGAGAGGAGUAUAAUAUCUGGGGCAAAUAAAAUAUUCAAAAAUAUUAAUAAUCAGUAGAGACAAAUGGUCAGGCAUAGACAUGGGCCAAUCAGAAUAGGUGCCUGAUGGACCAGAAAGAAUUGCAGCAAUUAACAGCUUUCACAGCCUCAUGUGCACACAUCAACUGAACACCACCUUGCUAGUGACAGUCAUCGGAUGGGAAGAGCAGAAGGGAAAGCAGAAGGGAAGGUGCCACAGGACAGAACACUUACAAUAGGAUGGUGCAAAGGAAAUGAACCUGGAGAACAAAGAUGAGAAGGAACCAUCAGAAAGACAAGAAAACUAAGAAAAACUGGGGACCAGGAAGCUUCAGAUGGGAAGGAAAGGCGGUAUGAACUAUUAAAGAAAUGUCUUACCCAUCUUUUCCUCAGCCAGAAAUUUGCAGUGUAGAUGUCUAUAGGGAUCAAGAGCAGUGCUCAGGAAGUACCAAGAGCAAUGGGGUCUCAAAGCCAAGGGAUGAGGGUGACCCAACACAAGUCAGAGCCUAGGGGGAACACAAGCUCUUCCCAGGGGUGACCUUCCACUAAAGAUGGUGUCUCCAAUCAUGCUGAAGCUGAACCCGGGCUGGAUGAGAGGGAGAGGUCGAAAUGAAGCCAACUCUUAGUGAGGGUAUCUCCCACUCUCAUACCAAACGUCACUGGGCAGCUGACCCAUCUGUCUAGUUUCUUCCUCCUCAGACAGAAUACGGACAUCUAUCUACUGACCUGCCUGGGCUCAGUGCAAGGCUCUCUCUGGGUUCUUGGGUCUAUUCACCUCAAGCCUGUAAAAUCUCUUUCCUGUAAUCUUUCUCCAAUUCAGUCUUCUCUUCUGUGACAGAGCGUUAAAAGCAAGUUUCCCCCACCUGCCUCAAGCCUGUUUAAGAUAGCACGAGAGCAUUCUGCUGAUCCUCUGAGAAUCUGAAGAGAGGUGGACAGGAGUCGCAGUGAAUGGUCUGAAAGAAGGAAAAAAAGAAAGGUACGUAGUACCGUGGAAUUAUUUGAAACUGAGCACAAACAUUUAAUCUUUGAUAAAGAGAGUUAACAUUUAGGGUUCUAGUGCAAAUGUAAAGAAUACUUGAAAAAAGAUGUAGGUUUCUCGAAAGAAAGACGGGCUGAGAAGUUCUUAGAGCUAAUAUGUGUUAUUAUUGGAGAUGCCGUAAAGCCAAUGUUAAAAUAGUUCCAAUUUCAAAAUUUUAGGAAAAAAUCCGGCUUUUUGGGUCCCUCGCAAGCCAGACCCCAUGCCCUCGCCUCCCCUACCAGGGCCUGGGUCGAAGCGACCUGUGCACGUGUGGAAGCUACAGCACCUCCAGGGCCCUGCCUCCACCUGCCUCCUGACCUUCAGUGUCGUGACGGGAGCGCAGCUCCAUCCACCUCGGGCAACGACAGGCGGCCGCGUGCGGCAUCCCGGCCCCG
rnacentral:lncRNA from 1 species